rnacentral:rRNA from 1 species
ACUGCUAUCGGAUUGAUACUAAGCCAUGCGAGUCAUUGUAGCAAUACAAGGCAGACGGCUCAGUAACGCGUAGUCAAUCUACCCUAUGGACGGGAAUAACCUCGGGAAACUGAGAAUAAUGCCCGAUAGAACAUUAUGCCUGGAAUGGUUUAUGUUUCAAAUGAUUUAUCGCCAUAGGAUGGGACUGCGGCCUAUCAGUUUGUUGGUGAGGUAAUGGCCCACCAAGACUAUUACAGGUACGGGCUCUGAGAGGAGUGGCCCGGAGAUGGGUACUGAGACACGGACCCAGGCCCUAUGGGGCGCAGCAGGCGAGAAAACUUUGCAAUGUGCGAAAGCACGACAAGGUUAAUCCGAGUGGUUUCUGCUAAAGAAACCUUUUGCCAGUCCUAGAAACACUGGUGAAUAAGGGGUGGGCAAGUUCUGGUGUCAGCCGCCGCGGUAAAACCAGCACCUCAAGUGGUCAGGAUGAUUAUUGGGCCUAAAGCAUCCGUAGCUCGUUUUGUAAGUUUUCGGUUAAAUCCAUGCGCUUAACGUAUGGGCUGCCGGGAAUACUGCAUAACUAGGAAGUGGGAGAGGUAGACGGUACUCGGUAGGAAGGGGUAAAAUCCUUUGAUCUAUUGAUGACCACCUGUGGCGAAGGCGGUCUACCAGAACACGUUCGACGGUGAGGGAUGAAAGCUGGGGGAGCAAACCGGAUUAGAUACCCGGGUAGUCCCAGCUGUAAACUAUGCAAACUCAGUGAUGCAUUGGCUUGUGGCCAAUGCAGUGCUGCAGGGAAGCCGUUAAGUUUGCCGCCUGGGAAGUACGUACGCAAGUAUGAAACUUAAAGGAAUUGGCGGG